GAUUUCUGGGUGACUGUGCUAGCCCGCUCCUUUCCGGGAGUGUGUGCCGGCAUACUUCUAGAAAGCCUUGCCUGCCGUUCAGUCGGCCGGGCAGGUGCGGUCUAGAUCUAUGAAUACACUAGCAUGGAAUAAUAAUAUAGGACUUUGGUUCUAUUUUGUUGGUUUCUAGGACUGAAGUAAUGAUUGAUAGGGAUAGUUGGGGGUGCUAGUAUUCAGUGGCCAGCGGUGAAAUUCUUGGAUUCACUGAAGACUAACUACUGCGAAAGCAUU
rnacentral:rRNA from 1 species